CUGCAGGCAUGGGACUGUAAACUAAAGUCAGAUGCACAGCGAUCUACUGUACUUGGAAGCCUGCUGGUAAAGGCAGGCCCAGGAAACCCCUCCAGUUACAAGCUCCAGUGCCUGAGGGUGCCCCCGAUUCCACGACCAACAUGAACACAGCUGGCAACAUUGUUUCUCCUUCUUGAGUUCCACUAAGAUGUCUUGGCUCUCUCUGAGAAAGGUGGCUUGCCAAUGACCAAAAGGCCUCAUGUUGCUGCAAUUGCUGGGAAAGACACUAAUGCUAAAGGAUUUCACUAUGGAUGACGUGUGGGCCACACUUACCAUUGAGGACCUCAGUAAUAACAGAGGGAAGGUACCAGUGGUGUUUUAGAUUGAGGCAUCUGCUUCGAAUUAUUGUAAUUAUUUUGGUUUUCUUGCCUUUCAGCGUCCAGGCCUAAGAUUGCAAAGCCUGGAGUCGGUGUACUUAUGACUGACAGAUCAUCCUUCAUCCUAAGAUCCAAACAGGCACUCCGAUAAACACACUCAGAUGCUUCCAACUCGCAAUGGAGCCACAGGUAUAGCAGUAAGGGAAAUCGAAUCCUUCACCUUGACCACAUCCCUCAUGAGAGACAGAGAUGUCCUGAGUUCCAGACGGCACACUAUAUAGUCUCUUCCAUUCUGCCCCAACAUUCAUGCAGCAGCAGCAUCUGGAGGUGCAGGUACAGUUAAGCAAUCAUCUACAACACUGGACUCCAAUGGUGAAGCUUGGCAUCUUCACAGAGCAGAGGACUGUGAUACCUGGCAGCAGACAUGGCAGGAGCUUUGAAGGCGAGAGGACUGGGCAUUUGGUUUUCUGCUGGCAAGGGGGGAAGCAUUUCCAGGCAUUAUUCUUGAAGGAGGCUGUGCCCUUGACAGCCUUGGAAGCCCUUCACUUGCCUGACAAUCUCGGGACACAUUUUUUCCCUGGACCCUUUAUUUUCGUAAACAAUGUAAUACACUGUUGCAGGCUGGAUCUUUCCAAACUAAAACUACAGCAAUAGCCUCAGCAUGCAGACCCAAUCUUUCUGCCCCAAUCCCCUCCUCU